rnacentral:rRNA from 1 species
CCUACGGGCGGCAGCAGUGGGGAAUAUUGGACAAUGGGCGAAAGCCUGAUCCAGCCAUGCCGCGUGUGUGAAGAAGGCCUUCGGGUUGUAAAGCACUUUCAGUGGGGAAGAAAGCCUUGGGGCUAAUACCCUCGAGGAAGGACAUCACCCACAGAAGAAGCACCGGCUAACUCCGUGCCAGCAGCCGCGGUAAUACGGAGGGUGCGAGCGUUAAUCGGAAUUACUGGGCGUAAAGCGCGCGUAGGCGGUCUGAUAAGCCGGUUGUGAAAGCCCCGGGCUCAACCUGGGAACGGCAUCCGGAACGGUCAGGCUAGAGUGCAGGAGAGGAAGGUAGAAUUCCCGGUGUAGCGGUGAAAUGCGUAGAGAUCGGGAGGAAUACCAGUGGCGAAGGCGGCCUUCUGGACUGACACUGACGCUGAGGUGCGAAAGCGUGGGUAGCAAACAGGAUUAGAUACCCGAGUAGUC